rnacentral:rRNA from 1 species
AUGUCGUCGACGACGCAGAGCGCGGCCCUGUCGGCGAAAUGCGCGGCGUGGGCGCAGGAGCGGCGGCCGUUCACGCACCCGAUCGAGAUCCCGGCGGCCUCCGGCGCGCCGGACGAGCGGAGGGGCCGCGGCGAGGAGGAGGAAGGCGGGGAGGUGGAGCCGCCGCACGUGCUGAUGGCGCGGCGCAGGGCGGCCUCCUCGGUGUGCUCCGGCCAGGGCCGGACGCUCAAGGGCCGGGACCUCACGCGCACGCGCGACUCCGUCCUCCGCAUGACCGGCUUCAUCGAGAGCUAG